rnacentral:rRNA from 1 species
UACGGAGGGGGCUAGCGUUGUUCGGAAUUACUGGGCGUAAAGCGCACGUAGGCGGCUUUGUAAGUUAGAGGUGAAAGCCCGGGGCUCAACCCCGGAAUAGCCUUUAAGACUGCAUCGCUUGAACACGGGAGAGGUGAGUGGAAUUCCGAGUGUAGAGGUGAAAUUCGUAGAUAUUCGGAGGAACAUCAGUGGCGAAGGCGGCUGCCUGGCCCAAUACUGACACUCAGGUGCGACAGCGUGGGGAGCAAACAGG